rnacentral:rRNA from 1 species
CCUACGGGAGGCAGCAGUGGGGAAUAUUGGGCAAUGGGCGCAAGCCUGACCCAGCAAUGCCGCGUGAAGGAAGAAGGCUUUCGGGUUGUAAACUUCUUUUCUCAGGGACGAAGCAAGUGACGGUACCUGAGGAAUAAGCCACGGCUAACUACGUGCCAGCAGCCGCGGUAAUACGUAGGUGGCAAGCGUUAUCCGGAUUUACUGGGUGUAAAGGGCGUGUAGCCGGGAAGGCAAGUCAGAUGUGAAAUCCGGGGGCUCAACCUCCGAAUUGCAUUUGAAACUGUUUUUCUUGAGUACUGGAGAGGCAGACGGAAUUCCUUGUGUAGCGGUGAAAUGCGUAGAUAUAAGGAGGAACACCAGUGGCGAAGGCGGUCUGCUGGACAGCAACUGACGGUGAGGCGCGAAAGCGUGGGGAGCAAACAGGAUUAGAUACCCGGGUAGUC